GCGGCCGCCGUCAGCCCAGCCCUCCGUUGCUGCCUGAUCGCGGCCCGUUCGGCUAACCCGGUCCACUCCGAGCCGGCGGCGAGGACUCGGCGGCCACUUCAUCCUGGCCUGUAGUGCCUCGCGGUCCCCAAGCUCCUCCUCGCGGUCUCCGAAGCCUUGUGCCUGGCCUGGACGCUUUGCAGGGACCGGAGCGCGACCAAGAAAUCCCAACGCAGACAUCACUCCUAUCUUUUCUGAGUCUUGAAUUGAAAGCUUCAAGGACUCUACAGCCUAAAAGUGAAAUAAAAGAUACCUCCUGCUGCAGAGAGCGCUUUAAGCAAGGAAGGCUUUCCUUGGCUUCUGUCUGCAUUCCAUAAAAUACUCCUUGCCUUUUAGCUCUGCCUGCAGUUGAGCACAAAGACCUGAAGGAGACUCCCACAGCCUUCAGGGAGAAGAAAGGAGGCAGCCAAGGCUAUUAAAAGGAACUUGUGGCUUGUG
rnacentral:lncRNA from 1 species